CUACGGGGCGCUCCAGUGGGGAAUAUUGCACAAUGGAGGAAACUCUGAUGCAGCAACGCCGCGUGGAGGAUGACACUUUUCGGAGCGUAAACUCCUUUUAUAUAGGAAGAAGAUGACGGUACCAUAUGAAUAAGCGCCGGCUAACUCCGUGCCAGCAGCCGCGGUAAUACGGAGGGCGCAAGCGUUACUCGGAAUCACUGGGCGUAAAGAGCGUGUAGGCGGAUUAAAAAGUCAGAAGUGAAAUCCUAUAGCUUAACUAUAGAACUGCUUCUGAAACUCUUAAUCUAGAAUAUGGGAGAGGUAGAUGGAAUUUCUGGUGUAGGGGUAAAAUCCGUAGAGAUUAGAAGGAAUACCGAUUGCGAAGGCGAUCUACUAGAACAUUAUUGACGCUGAGACGCGAAAGCGUGGGGAGCAAACAGGAUUAGAUACCCGGGUAGUC
rnacentral:rRNA from 1 species